GACCCAAAUUGAAGUAGAGUCGAUAAGUAGGAUUAGCUGACCCUACUAAACUAUUCUACUUCAAGUUUGUGCUC
rnacentral:pre_miRNA from 1 species